rnacentral:rRNA from 1 species
GACGAACGCUGGCGGCGUGCUUAACACAUGCAAGUCGAACGGAGUGGCGAACGGGUGAGUAACACGUGGGUGAUCUGCCUUGCACUUCGGGCUAAGCUUGGGACACUGGGUCUAAUACCGGAUAGUGCAAGAUGAGCUCGCGGCCUAUCAGCGUGUUGGUGGGGUAAUGGCCUACCAAGGAGUCGCCGGGUAGCCGGCCGGAGCGGGUGUACGGCCCCAUUGGGACUGAGAUACGGCCCAGACUCCUACGGGAGGCAGCAGUGGGGAAUAGUGCACAAUGGGCGGAAGCCUGAUGCAGCGACGCCGGGGGGGGGAUGAAGGCCUUCUGGUUGUAAACUCCUUUCGACAGGGACGCGGUACCUGUAUAAGAAGCACCGGCUAACUACGUGCCAGCAGCCGCGGUAAUAC